rnacentral:rRNA from 1 species
CGGAGCUAACGCGUUAAGUCGACCGCCUGGGGAGUACGGCCGCAAGGUUAAAACUCAAAUGAAUUGACGGGGGCCCGCMCAAGCGGUGGAGCAUGUGGUUUAAUUCGAUGCAACGCGAAGAACCUUACCUGGUCUUGACAUCCACGGAAGUUUUCAGAGAUGAGAAUGUGCCUUCGGGAACCGUGAGACAGGUGCUGCAUGGCUGUCGUCAGCUCGUGUUGUGAAAUGUUGGGUUAAGUCCCGCAACGAGCGCAACCCUUAUCCUUUGUUGCCAGCGGUCCGGCCGGGAACUCAAAGGAGACUGCCAGUGAUAAACUGGAGGAAGGUGGGGAUGACGUCAAGUCAUCAUGGCCCUUACGACCAGGGCUACACACGUGCUACAAAGGGGGCAUACAAAGAGAAAGCGACCUUCGCGAGAGCAAGCGGACCUCAUAAAGUGCGUCGUAGUCCGGAUUGGAGUCUGCAACUCGACUCCACGAAGUCGGAACCGCUAGA